rnacentral:rRNA from 1 species
GACGAACGCUGGCGGCGUGCCUAACACAUGCAAGUCGAACGGGACUUAGUGGAAAGCGGCUUCGGCCAAUGGAAGCUAAGUUUAGUGGCGAACGGGUGAGUAACGCGUGAGAAACCUGCCUUUCAGUGGGGGACAACAGUUGGAAACGACUGCUAAUACCGCAUAAUGUAUCCGGGGGGCAUCCUCUGGAUACCAAAGCUUAAUGUGCUGAAAGAUGGUCUCGCGUCUGAUUAGCUAGAUGGCGGGGUAACGGCCCACCAUGGCGACGAUCGGUAGCCGGACUGAGAGGUUGAUCGGCCACAUUGGGACUGAGACACGGCCCAGACUCCUACGGGAGGCAGCAGUGAGGGAUAUUGGGCAAUGGGGGCAACCCUGACCCAGCAAUGCCGCGUGAAGGAAGACGGUUUUCGGAUUGUAAACUUCUUUUAAGAGGGACGAUGAUGACGGUACCUCUUGAAUAAGCCACGGCUAACUACGUGCCAGCAGCCGCGG